rnacentral:rRNA from 1 species
GAUGAACGCUGGCGGCGUGCCUAAUACAUGCAAGUCGAGCGAACGGACGAGAAGCUUGCUUCUCUGAUGUUAGCGGCGGACGGGUGAGUAACACGUGGAUAACCUACCUAUAAGACUGGGAUAACUUCGGGAAACCGGAGCUAAUACCGGAUAAUAUUUUGAACCGCAUGGUUCAAAAGUGAAAGACGGUCUUGCUGUCACUUAUAGAUGGAUCCGCGCUGCAUUAGCUAGUUGGUAAGGUAACGGCUUACCAAGGCAACGAUGCAUAGCCGACCUGAGAGGGUGAUCGGCCACACUGGAACUGAGACACGGUCCAGACUCCUACGGGAGGCAGCAGUAGGGAAUCUUCCGCAAUGGGCGAAAGCCUGACGGAGCAACGCCGCGUGAGUGAUGAAGGUCUUCGGAUCGUAAAACUCUGUUAUUAGAGAAGAACAUAUGUGUAAGUAACUGUGCACAUCUUGACGGUACCUAAUCAGAAAGCCACGGCUAACUACGUGCCAGCAGCCGCGGUAAUACGUAGGUGGCAAGCGUUAUCCGGAAUUAUUGGGCGUAAAGCGCGCGUAGGCGGUUUUUUAAGUCUGAUGUGAAAGCCCACGGCUCAACCGUGGAGGGUCAUUGGAAACUGGAAAACUUGAGUGCAGAAGAGGAAAGUGGAAUUCCAUGUGUAGCGGUGAAAUGCGCAGAGAUAUGGAGGAACACCAGUGGCGAAGGCGACUUUCUGGUCUGUAACUGACGCUGAUGUGCGAAAGCGUGGGGAUCAAACAGGAUUAGAUACCCUGGUAGUCCACGCCGUAAACGAUGAGUGCUAAGUGUUAGGGGGUUUCCGCCCCUUAGUGCUGCAGCUAACGCAUUAAGCACUCCGCCUGGGGAGUACGACCGCAAGGUUGAAACUCAAAGGAAUUGACGGGGACCCGCACAAGCGGUGGAGCAUGUGGUUUAAUUCGAAGCAACGCGAAGAACCUUACCAAAUCUUGACAUCCUUUGACAACUCUAGAGAUAGAGCCUUCCCCUUCGGGGGACAAAGUGACAGGUGGUGCAUGGUUGUCGUCAGCUCGUGUCGUGAGAUGUUGGGUUAAGUCCCGCAACGAGCGCAACCCUUAAGCUUAGUUGCCAUCAUUAAGUUGGGCACUCUAAGUUGACUGCCGGUGACAAACCGGAGGAAGGUGGGGAUGACGUCAAAUCAUCAUGCCCCUUAUGAUUUGGGCUACACACGUGCUACAAUGGACAAUACAAAGGGCAGCGAAACCGCGAGGUCAAGCAAAUCCCAUAAAGUUGUUCUCAGUUCGGAUUGUAGUCUGCAACUCGACUACAUGAAGCUGGAAUCGCUAGUAAUCGUAGAUCAGCAUGCUACGGUGAAUACGUUCCCGGGUCU